rnacentral:lncRNA from 1 species
UUCCACUUCAGAAGCUUCUUAACAGCAUUCUCAGAUGUGUGAAUAUCCAUUAGUGACCCAAGGGGAUUACUCCCUGGCACCAAGUUUACCUUUACGAGAGGCCUGGACGAUGCGACUUUCCCCUCCCGGAAGCAGCCGAAAUGAUGUCUGCAUUAUUGCAUUUGAGCCAACAAUGUGA